rnacentral:rRNA from 1 species
AUACCCGCUGAACUUAAGCAUAUCAAUAAGCGGAGGAAAAGAAACCAACAGGGAUUGCCUCAGUAACGGCGAGUGAAGCGGCAAUAGCUCAAAUUUGAAAUCUGGCUCUUUCAGAGUCCGAGUUGUAAUUUGUAGAGGAUGCUUCGGCUUACGUCUCGGUCUAAGUUCCUUGGAACAGGACGUCACAGAGGGUGAGAAUCCCGUUUGUGGCCGCGACUUCCGCCAUGUGAAGCUCCUUCGACGAGUCGAGUUGUUUGGGAAUGCAGCUCUAAAUGGGAGGUAUAUUUCUUCUAAAGCUAAAUACCGGCCAGAGACCGAUAGCGCACAAGUAGAGUGAUCGAAAGAUGAAAAGCACUUUGGAAAGAGAGUUAAAAAGUACGUGAAAUUGUUGAAAGGGAAGCGCUUGCGACCAGACUUGCCCGCGGAUGCUCAACCGGUCCUUCGGCCGGUGCACUCUUCCGCGGUCAGGCCAGCAUCAGUUCGAGCAGUCGGAUAAAGGCCUUGGGAAUGUGGCUCUCUUCGGGGAGUGUUAUAGCCCUAGGUGCAAUACGGCUUGCCUGGACUGAGGCCCGCGCUUCGGCUAGGAUGCUGGCGUAAUGGUCGUAAGCGGCCGUCUUG